UUGUGUUUAGAGGUAGAUGUGAGGCAGAAAUAAAUCGACUAUUCUAUUAUAGGUUUGCUGUAAUAAGUUGUGAUAGUAUUGUUUUGGCGAAAGAUUUUGAAAUGUUCAUUAUUUUUUGACAGAUUAUUUGACUGGGAUACCAACUGUUUGGCAAUUUUUAUUUAAAUUAUUCUUGUUUUAGUGAACUUUUUGUUAUUGUUUGGUCAAUCUUUCUUUCACUUUACGGACUUUUCCAGUUGUUUUGGAAAAGUUUAGAAAGAAAAUUACAAAGAAGUUGUUAAAGAUGAAUUGAUCCGAUUAACGGAUUAAUAUAUUUUUUAGAAGAUUUUUUUGUAUUUUUUUUACCUUUUCUAUUCCUCUAAGGAAGACGAAUCAGAAAAUAUUGACUUCAAAGUAACACAAAUUUGCUAAAUGAAUUACAUAUUCAUUGAACAACUGACAAAAUCGUGGGGUGUUGAUAAUGAGGGGGUAUGUUUGUAAUCUCUCUCGUUGUUUACAAUAAGACCAUUAAGGAUUCUUGUUAAAAUCUAUCGUUAGUCACAGAAAAGCGGUGCAUAUAAAUCCUUGAGCCAUUUUUCAUCAAAUAUGGGCGACCCAAAACUCCAUCAUCGGAAGUCAACCUAAUAAGGUCUACAUCAGCAUCUUUGGAUGAGCUUAAUCGUAAAAAGAUUUGGUCGUCAAUAAAUGGCAGUGUGAACUAGAUAGAGUUAUGAAAAAUGAAGAAAAAGAAUAUUGAAUGGACCAAAAAAGAGUAUAAAAGGCAAUUUUAGUGGCAAUGUUUUGAAAUCUAGACCGUUGAGUGAACCGAAAAAACGACCGGGUCACCGGUUCAACCGUCAUAUCAACCAUUAUCGAACUGCUAUCGAACUGUGACGUCAUAAAUUAUUUAUAAUAGAUGGUAAAUAAAAAUAAUUGGGGAGUCUAAUUGCAAUAAUUUAAGCAUUGUGAGUUAAGUCAGUUACACUUAAAAUUGUGAGGAUUUAAAGCAUGAUUUAGAAUUUAAAAAUUAAAACCCCCAAAUCAGUCGACCUCUCUCUCUCCUCACACAAUCACCCCCCUCUCUCUCUCCUCCUCCUCAGUUCUCUCUGUUGAUCCGUGACAACCCUAACUGGAAAAGAGGAAAGACCAUCACCGAUCACUCUCGAAGUCGAAAGCAACAACACCAUUGACAAUGUCAAGGCCAAGAUUCAAGUCUAUUUUCUAAUCGGUUAGUUUUCUCUUCUUGUUUACACACGAGUAUUUUCAUUUCAAUUUGGGGAUUGUUUCACGCCCGGUCAAACCAAGCCCGGCCACGUAGCAACAACUCAAUGCGAAAGCAAAAAAAAAUGACAUACGCUGUCAUUUUACAUCAGAGUGCGGAAAUAAUAAUUACAACAUCUAAUUAAAAAAAAAACCUUAAUAUUUUUAUCAAAUUAAACAUCACACCUGGCACCACAUGCCUCAAGACUCAGGAUAACCCUCGGUACCUGAAAUCAAUUGUUUUUAUAGUAAAGGUGAGUUACCUUGAAAAGAUUUAACAAUGGACUGAUGCUUCAAGCCAAAACCAUGAUACAUCACUAUACUAUGAAAACAUGAAUAGCAUAAAGUAUGGGCUUUCAUUUAUAUCAAAAUAACUUUGAUUUCAUCCUUGAUUUUCUCAAAAUCAACAGUUUCCAAAAAUUCCAUCCUUUUCUCACAAGGCAUUACUCCAAUAAUUUAGAAUAACACAUUUAGCCCAUAACCUAACCAAUCUUAUUAUGCCUAAGCUCGUGCGAUAACAGCAUCAAAGUUCCGGACUUCACCGUGGGGCUUGAUAUUCCCGCCGUAUCGUUGCCAUCUAGGACUCUGUUUUGUCAAUUCCCGGACUUUCACCGGGGCUAUGACAUUCCUCCGUAUCGUUACCACUAGGACUUUCAUUUUGUCAAUUUUCCCUGGCCUUUCACCGUGGGCUAAUGACAUUCCCUCCGUAGCUUUGUGCCAUCUAGGACUUUAUGUCCAACUUUCCGGACUUUCACCGUGGGCUAUAACAUUCCCUCCGUAUCUUUGCCAUUUAGGACUUUAGUCUGUUCUUAAUCUAAGCCAUCUAAUUUCGAUAUAUUUUAGCUGUGUCAUUCCUAGACAAUUCCAUUCUCAAUUCCAAAUUUCAUUUCAUAACCCAAGUUCAUUGUAUUUUUUGAACUUUAUAUUUAAUAAUUACUUUCACAUAUACAUAAGAUCACUUUUUCAUCAUUCAAUGUUAAUUCAACAUCAUUCAAUUAAGAGACACUUUUCACUGUAAUUACUGUCAAAUAUUUUUAUAAGCAUUUAUGACAUUAAUUUGACCAUAUAAUAUGAUAUUAAAGCAAAAUAAUUUUAGCAUUAAAAUUUCUAACCUUUUUAUCUCUUAAUUUUUCGCAUAAAAAAUAUUAUGGCUCAUCAAACUAAAUUUUCCAUUUCAAGUUAAUACAAAAAAAAUAAUAUCUUAAUAGACUUAUAUAAGCGAUUAACAACAAUCCAAAUAAACCCUAAACAAAAACUAACCCCCGUUACCUCAAAUAGAAUUUGACACCGUCGGAUCUGAAGAUCAGCCUUCCAUGAUCAUCAUACUAAAAUUUUGCAUUGAUCCAACUUUAUCUCACAUUGAUCUGCACCCCUAUCUUUCAUGAUCUAAACUUAACCACACUAUAUAAUUUCUCCCAUUUCUUUCUCUCUUCUCUCUUCUCUUUCUUCCCUCUUCUCUCCUUCUCCGAGCUUCCUUCCUCCUCUAUUUAUAGAUUUUAUAAGUAUAUUUAUAUAUAAAAAUAUUAUUAUUUUAUUUUUUAUUAUUUUAUUAUUUUAUUAUUUUAUUCUUUUUCUUGUUUCCUUUCCUUUCCCUUCAGCCCGCCGACGCCUUUCGGCUGAAAGAAAUGGAUUUAUAGUUUUAUAGAAAUCACACUUAGCCCUCCCAACUUCUAAUUACAUUAUAAUCCUCUCAAUUUAACUGUCCUCUUUAAUUUAAAUCCCACAAGUUCAAUGAAUCGUUCAAUUUAAACUCAAUACUAAAGGCAAAGUCCAAAUUUUAUAAAUUUAAAAAUGAAACCUUACAUCUCCACCACUUAAGAAUUUCGUCCUCGAAAUUAGAUAAACGUACCCGAUUGUCAAAAAGAUCCGGAUCUUUCGCGCGAACCUCUGAUCCUUGUCUUUUUUUUGUUCCCCUGUAGCUUCCUCUAUGUCUGCUGAAGCCCACAGAACCUUCACCAAUGGAAUAGUCUUUCCUCUCAAAACUUGAUUCCUCGUAUCCAACACACGAUCGUUCGUCCUCAUACGUGACAUCCUCAUUGACGUCAAGAUCUCCCCAAUCCAAAACGUGGAAGGAUCGGGCUCAUAUUUUCCGCAACAUGGAACAUGAAACACAUUGUGCACAUUGGCCCAACCUCGGUGGAAGGCAAGACGGUACUGCCCGGCCCAUACGAUCAAGAAUCUCAACCGCUAAUGAAUCUUGGUGAUAGCUGCGCUAUGUUCCCGAAGCGCAUCAAACCCCUCUUAGGUGAACCCUCAAAAAACGUGAUCCCCAACGCAAAUUCCAAUGACGUUUCCUCCGAUCGGCAUAACUUCUUUUGACGACUUUGUGCCGUGAGUAAACGUUUUCUAAAUCAAUACCACCUUCUCGGUCGUAUCACGAACCCAUUCGACUUUUGCAAGUACUGGCCUCUCCAACGUCGGUCCAACACAGGGUGACCUACAUGUCUUCCGUACAAUGCCUCAAAAGGUGCCAUACCGAUGCUCUCUUGAUAACUAUUGUUAAUCAAACUCUAACCAAAUUAGAUGAAUCCUCCCAUGAUCCCCCAAAUCAAUUACGCAGGCUCUAAGCAUGUCCCUCCAAAUCUGAAUCGUACGCUCAGACUGUCCUCAUUCUGGGAUGAAACGCCGUGCUAAGGCCUCAAUCUGAUCUAGUGCAAUUGCAUCCCCUUCCAAAGGCGAUGUAAAACGCGAUCCCUAUCGAAACGAUAGAUACGUCGGAAACCCAUGAAGGCUAACGAUCUCUCGAACAUAAAGAACCCCAAGAUCCUCUGCCGAAUUUGACAAACGGAUGGGAAGAAAUGCGGCGGAUUUUGUCAACGAUCCACAUGACCCAACGGCAUUAUGCCCUCUCAAUGAUCUAGGCAAACCCGUAACAAAAGUCCAUAGAUUGCUCCCAUUUCCCUCUACAACUUGUAAUUGUUGUAGCAAACCGGCUGGCUUCUGGUGUUCUCUUUCACUUGCUGACAAGUCAAAACCUCGAACGCAUACAGCAACUCUUUCUUCAUUCUCUCCACCAAAUUGCGACACAAAUCUGAUCAUCGUGUCCCUCCAGGAUGAACUGCAGUCGUGAAUGAUGAAACUCAUGAAGAACAUCGUUUCUACUAGACAAUGGACAACAAUCUAGACUUAUAUCUCAACUCUGAAUCCUCAUGUAAAACCCAAUCUUUUGACCUACUUUCUAGCAAUGCGGUCGCAAAUAGUCUUUACUCCACAUCUUCUGUUGUGCCUCAAUGACCCUACUAAUGAUUGAUGGCUCUGUAGACAAUGUGAACAUGUGCAGACUCGUUCGUCUCGGCGGAAGUAAAUCAUACUCACCGAUAUCUUGAAGCAUUUCCCUCUGAUGGAAUGCUCGCCAAACACCAAGCGAUUUCUACUAAGUGCAUCGGCCACAACGUAGCCUUCCGGGAUGAUAUAGGGGGGGGGGGUGUCAUCGAAGUCAUAUUCUUUCCAGGUACGCCAUCCAACGCCGUUGCCUCAAGUUCAGUCUUCUGUUUGACAAGGUACUCAAACUCUUGUGGUCUGAAAUACUUCAAACCGCUCUCCGUACAAGUAUGCCUCCAACUCUUAAAGCAAUAUAUGGCCGCAAGUUCCAAGUCAAUGAGUCGAUAAUUUUGUUCGUGCGUCUUUAACUGACGAACCUACGCAAUCACUUUACCCACUGCACAACACGCAACCCAAGCCAUCACGUGAAGCAUCGCAUACACUGUAUCCCCAACUCUCGCUCGUGUAUCACAAGAAUUGGUGCGACAUGUCAUUCUCUCUUAAGCUCUUGAAAAGAAUGCUCGCACGCAUCGUUCCAACAAAACGAAUUCCCUUCCUCUAGUCCGAGUCAUUGGUGCCGCUAAUCUGAAAAGUUCCUCUACAAAUCGCCGGUAGUAACCAGCUAGACCUAGAAACUACGAAUUUCAAAUACGGUCUUCGGUCGUUCCCAAUUCAUCACUGCCUAAUAUUUGGAUGAUCCACAGCCCUCACUUUCCCGACCACAACGUACCUAAGAAUUUUACUCAGGUAACCAAAACUCCGCAUUUGCUAAGCUUAGCAUACAAGCAAUGUUCUCGCAAAGCUGCCACACUAUCAAAUCAAAUGCUCCCUCAUGUGACUCAACGAUGGCGAAUAGAUCAAGAUGUCGUCCACGAAACGACCAUGAACGGUCAAGAUAUGGGAUUGAAGAUACGAUUCAUCAAAUCCAUGACAGCUGCUGGCGCAUUCCGUAGAACCAAACGGCUCAUAAGAACCUCAUAAUCCCAUAGCUGAGGCGAAAAUCGUCUUAGCAUAUCUCCCUCUUUGCUCCUCAAUUGAUGCUACCAUCUUAAAUCAAUCUUCGAGAAACAGCUCGAACCUUUCAUUGGUCAACGUCGUCGAUCCUCGAAGUGGAUACUUGUUCUUUUUUUUUAUUGUCACACAUUCAAUCGCCCGAUAAUCUACGCACAUGCUAAGUGAUCCAUCCUUCUUUUUAGCAAAUAAAGCAAGCUCCCCAUGGUGAUGCGCUAGUGUCAGAUAAAGCCUUGAUCCAAUAAUCUUUAAUCGAACUUUCAGUUCUUGCAGCUCGGCCAUGCAAAACGAUACGUUGUUACCGAUAUGGCGGCAGUAUCCGGUAGAAGAUCAAUGGAGAAUUCAAUCUCCCAUGGGGUGGUAACUCCAAUCAAUCCCUCUGGAAAGACAUUUGAAAUUCACAGACAACCGGUGGCAAGGCACACUAACGCGCUACCCUCAUCGACCAGCACGCCGAGAAAAAAAUUCAAUCCCCUUGCCUACGCACAUCAGUAAACGAAGGGACAAAACCACCACCUCGUCUCCCAUAAUUGAAAGCGAUCUCCCUCAGUGUACAAAGGUCACACGGUGUCGGACACAGCUACAGUGGCCCGAUCUCCGUCAACCAAUCCAUACCAAGGAUUACGUUCAACGAAGUCAUGUCUAAUACAAUAAAAAUCAACACACUAAACGUCGAUCGCAGCUAUCUCAACCUCACAAUAUCUACAACUCUCUUCAAAGUCGAUCUCCCCCCAACUGUAUUGUCUAACAUAAGCACUGAAUCUAAUACAUCAAUCUCUAAUCCCCAUGCCACAAGCAAAAGAUGAAUGAGAUGAAUAAUUGUGAUGCUCCCGUGUCGAUGAGCACACCGAGCCCAUGAAUUAAACAUAAGUAAAGUACCUCGCACAACAGAGUUAUCCAAUUGUUGCUCCUGCUGCCAGCUAUCCCUGCGGUCCCGCUGGCUAAUUUGUUAUAGCGUAAAACCCGUCCUUGUGUCUCUGACCCUGUCUGGGCUACAGCCUGUGGUCUGAACUGAUAUGAAGUCUGUGCUAUGUAUCUGGAGUAGCCCCGGGCCUUAACUGACCGAGUAUGUUUGUUUCGAUCCCGUAGCUCCCGGUGACUGGUCUCCCUCGCGGGGCACUGUCGACUGAUAUUACCCCUGCCACCCCGAUAGCAGGUAGGUGGCCCCCUGACUAGUGAUUGUCCAUGUGCCUAGAUGUGAGAUGGUCCCCCUGCGUGCAACUGCCGCUGCUGAUCUUUCAUGGGUCAGGUCCACUAUAAUGAUGACCCGGUUGAUGACAACCAAAAUAAUUGGCCCUCCGCCAAUGUUUGGCCGCGAUGAAUAACAGAUGUGGCGGGUAAAGACCUCGUAGAUACUUUGCUGUACAGUAUAGGUCCUUGGCUUCGUAAAAGAACGCCCUCCGACUGAUUGCUAUGUUCCCUCACGCGGUGUACUUAGGAUUUUGAAUUUCCUAUCUCAUUCAAAGUCUCCUCGAUUGGGGGCCCGCCACCGCGCUAACCAUAGUCGAGUAACUUUGAUCAAUUUCCGACAAUCUAUUCCUUAUGGACGGCCUAAGCCCCCGCAUAUCCUUAUUCCUUAUGGACGGCCUAAGUCUGCCUCAGUACCAAGAUUGUAUCCCACGCUCUUGUGACUUGUUCAAGGCAUCUUCCGCAACUAACGGAUCCGGUUCUCCACACUUGAAACGUUGGUGGACGUAGUUUGAAUAAAGGCCUCAUGGCUGUGGUAGCUGAUGCGAGAGCAAGGCUGAAGAUUACUUGGAUGACCCGUGCCGUCGUUAUGUCCGUGUGCCCGGUAACAUUAAUCGCCCAUACUUUUUGCUGCGUAACUCCGUUUUCCUCUUAUAAUAUAUCGUUUGAAAGCCUGACGAGACGAAGACCUGGGAAAUUAAUCUUUUCCGGGCCGUAAACGCGAAAAAACGCGUUUAAUUAUGAUUUUUUGGUCCGUUUAAAGUAGUUUGGGCCUGCUUUUGGGCUUGUUUUCUUAAGGUUUCGUAUGAUUCUUUUGAACCCGGUUUGUCCCCGGGCCCUAGGGUUUUUGUGAACCCAUAUUUAUACUCUAAUUCUUUAGGGUUUCAUAGUUUUUUUUUGGGGAUUAAAGUAUUUUGUCCGUUUUUCCAAUCGUUCGUAUUCCUUUUUGCGAGAUCAACGAGCGUUGAUGCCUCUUUAUCGGGUUUCGAUUGAAUCAAUAGUUUGGGAAGCCGGUAAGUCUUCGAAGCAACGUUAUUCUUUUCUUUAAGUGCCGCUCAUCAGUACCCUACUUUCUGCGUUCUAAAACUGGCACUUGUGCAUCUUGCACAGUGUUUUCUCACCACUUGGCUCAAUGGCGGUGAACUCCUUGCAUAAUUCGGCGCACCAAGUCGUAGGUUGAGCACCUCCACAUUCCUUACAUUUUCUACAGGAGCACUUGCCUUCCUCCCAUCUACCGACUCUUGGUUAUCAUCUCCUUCAUCGAAUUCCUACGAGCCCCGCGGGGUCCACGUGCCCCCGACUCCUCGUAAGUGAACUUCCGCCGACCUCUCGUGUUUUGCUGGUGGCAUGUUCACACAAUGCCACAAGAAACAUAGUAAUCAUACCAUUUAUGAGUAUGUCUAACCUUGCUAUACCAUAAGUCCCCUUUAAUAACAAUUUAGCAUGUACGUUCAUGUUAUCUUCUAUCACAUAGAGAGCAACUAUGUUCCCUCUCAUACUUAGACGUUAAACCAAAUGUGUCUAACCAUCCCACGUCUCAUAGGUAUCGAACUAGACUCUGAUACCAUGUGUCACGCCCCGCAACCAACGACCCGGCCACGGCAGUCAACAACUCACAUGCGAAAAAGUCAAAAAAAAAAAAAUGACAAUACAAUACGCUGUCAUUUACCUCAGAGUGCGGAAUAUAUUAUAACACAUCAUUACACUUUUAAUAUGUUUAUCAAAUUAAACAGCACACUGGCAUCCAAGCCUCAAGCUCAGAUGACCCUCGGCUAACCUGAAAACAUUGUUUAUGUAAAGGUGAGUUAGACCAAUUGAAAAGAUGAAAAACAAUGGACUUGAUGCUUCCAGCCAAACCAUGAUACAAAAUAUACUAUGAAACAUGAUACAAUAAAGUAUGCUUUCAUUUAUAUCAAAUAUACUUUUGAUUUCAAUCCUUGAUUUCUCAAUCACAGGUUUUCCAAAAAUUCAUCGUCUCUCACAGGCAUUACUCCAAUCUUUAGGAAAACACAUUUAGACCAAUACCUAUACCAUCUUCUAUGCACUAAGCACUGUGAGAUAACACCAUCCACUUUCUUCCGUACUUUCAUCACUGUGGGCUAUGAUAUUUCCCUCUGUAUCGUUGCCCUCUACGACUUUUAUUUUGUUCAACUUCCCGGACUUUCACCGUGGGCUAUUAACAUUCCUCCGUAUCGUUACUAUCUAGACUUUCAUUUUGUCAUUUCCGACUUUCCACCGGUGGGCUAUGACAUUCCCCCGAAUCUUGACAUCAGGACUGUAUUGUCACUGUCCGGACUUUCACCGUGGGCUAUAACAGUCCCUCCGUAUCUUUGCCAUUUAGGACUUUAUUCUGUGCUUAGUCUAAGCCAUCUCAUUUCGAUAUCUUUUAGCGUGUCAUUCCUAGGGACAAUUCUCAUCUCAGGCCAAUUGCAUAUGCUAAAACCCAAGUUCAUGGAUUGUUGAACUUUUUAUAUUUAAAUAAUUACUUGCACAGUAUACAUAAGAUCCACUUUAUCAUCAAUGCAUGUAACACAAUUCAUUAAAGCGACAAUUCCUGUAAUUACUGAUUAUCACCAUAAAGGGUAAUUAAUAAUCGUUAUUCGCACUAUUUAGACUUAUACUUACUAGCAUUAAUUUUCGAAUGUAGUUAGAUUUUUAUUUGAUAUAUUUUGUGUUGUUUUGUAGGUUAACAGAGCAAAAAAGCACUAAAUAAGGAAAAAUCAACAAAUCAUCGUGGGGCCGAGGAUCCAGAGCCAUUUGCUGAGAUCAUCUCCCCCAAAUUUCAAAGUCUUCUGAUAACUUUCAUGAAUGAUAAUGUUGGCAUGUUUGUUGACAAAAUGGCCAAGCUCCUCCUUCAACCGUGCUAUUUCCUUCUUGGAUCCCCUUAUUUUCCUAUAACGGGAGUAUUUUGGGAGAGAAGAGAUUGGAGUUUUUGGGAGAGAAGAAUAGGAAAAAAUAGUUAGUUUUGGAAAAAAAAAAAAGCUUUCCACUAGAGUUUGCAGAGGAGUUUUUGGAGAAAAACAGAAAGAACAGUUUAGAUAGAUUUUGAUAUUGAAAUUUUAGUUUUUGUUUGAGAUCUCUCUCCGCAUUAUUGUAGUUCAAUAUUGUUUAGUUUUCCAAGUUCAUAAUUUUUACUCCUUAUAUUGUCCAUCUCGAUAGUUUUAUUUGCUUAUGAUAGAUAUUACUUUUAUAUUUUAUCGCUUAUCGAAACACCACAUGGAUGAUUCUUUCGCCAUGCCGACGGUUUUAAUCGCUUUUAGUUAUCGCGUAUUUAUCGCUUACUUAUCGCUUGAUUUAUCGUUACUGAAACCAUCACAAUGGCGUAUUCGCGCCAUGCGGACGUUCUUAUUGCUUAAUUUAUCACUUACAUUUUUUUAAUGACAUGGCUGGGUUCAAUUUCCUUUAUCAUUUUUGUUAAUUCUAUAUUGUUAUUUGUUUACAUUGCUUUAUGUUUUAUACCUGAUUCAACCGCCUUUAUUAUCUUUUAUCCUGGUUCGUUUUGUUUUUAUUUGCCAUGUCCAUAUUCUUCAAUCUGCUUUCAAUUAAUUUUCCCCCAUGUAUCUUAAUUGUUUGUAAGUUUUAUCGAUUUAAUUUUUUAAUUUAAUUUUUUUAAAUAUUUCAAGAACUUCAUAAAUGAAUGAGUACGAAUCCCUUAAAUCUUGGGGUUGAUUGUAAAGAUUGUGGUAGGUCUUAAAAAAAAGGGGAUUUGAUAUUUUGGGUUUCAAGUUGUAUAUUCAGUUUUGAUCAUUCCUUUAUCUCAAGUUUCGAUAAAUUAUUGAACAACUUGGAUGAUUGAUUCUGUCGGACAACACUUAUAACAUAAACUAGUCUAGUAUAAGUAGGCGGAAUCGAUGUAAUUCAUCCGUGAAUCUAACAACCAGAGCUAAAUUUUUGAACAUGAUUUUUUAAAGAACAAUAGAUUUUAUCUCUCAUCUCCAAUCGUGAGACUCAUUACGAAGUCAAAAGAUUUGAGUUAUACACAUCUCACUUUGAAAUUCCAAGACAACAAUACCAAUGAAAGUCAACCCGAGAUAUUCACAUUAAUUUACAAAGAAUUUAUCAGCUAUUUAUUUAUAUUUGUCAAAUAUUAGAACCCAAACCAAUUCUAAAACAAUCAGAUUUUAAUUUUUUUAGACAAUAUUUGGUCUCCUUGUGCGUAAUUGAUAGGAAACCUCUUUUCCUUUCAGUCUUUGCGCACACACUCUCCUGUGGAAUCGACCUCGUACUCCGAGUUAUACUACUACUCCGCCGCUUCUCUUGGGGUUCUAAUCUCAACAUCGCACUUUUUUGGCAACUUAUACAUAACCUUUCUUAGUAUAAGUUAUUGCGUGAACGAUGGUAUUCAUCCUUGAAUCUACCAACCGGAUCCUAAUUUAGAAAUGAAUUUUUAAAGAACAAGAGAUUUUAUCGCUAAAUCUCUUCCGAAUUCUGAGACUCAGACGAAGUUCAAAGAUUUGAUUAUAACUAUCACCUUGAAAUUCCAAGACACAAUAUCAUUAAACGAUCAACCCGCCGAGAUAAUUGUUCACAUUAAUUUUAACCAAGAAUUUUUCAACACGCUAUUUAUUUAUAUUUGUCAAUAUUUUAUAACUCAAAAAAUUCUAAAACAAUCAGAUUUUAAUUUUUUUUAGAAAUAUUUGUGCAUCCUUUGUGAUAAUGAAGGAAACUCUUUUCCGUCAUCUUUGCUCACACACUCCCUGUGAAUCGCCUCGUCUCCCGAGUUAUACUACUCCCGCCGGCCUCUCUUGGGGUCUAUCUCAAGCGCAACGUUGGUGAUAGAUCAAGUUUUGCGCCGUUGCCGGGAUUAAAGGAACCAGCAAAUCUAAAAAAAAAAACAAAAAAAUCAAAUUCAAAAUUUUGACUGUUGCCACCGAUUGACUGUUGAAAUUGACCAUUAAAAAAAAAAAAAAAACAAAAUUUUUUUUUAAAAAAAAAAAACAAAAAAAUUCAAACAUUCAAAAAUUUUGACUGUUGCCAUCACCGAAAUUGACAUUGACUUUUGACCAGUCAAAAUAAAAAAAAAAAAAAAAAAAAAAAACUUUAAAAAAACUUGAAAAAAAAAAAAAAAAAAAAAAAUUUGUGUGAUGUGUUGACUAUGAUUAUAGGCAUACUAUUUGCGCAUUGCCAUAUGUUAGUCCCAUUGGGCUCGGAUAGACAAUGACCGCCUUUGCCGAUCGACCCGCCAUCACUGUACACGCCUCCCAAUCGCCUUAGUAUCGACCUAGAUAGCUUGCUAGGAAACCCAAAUGAAGAAGGGAGAGUACCAAUUUUUGCCCUAAACAAAUCAAUGUGUUGUCCUAACCCACCAAUGGGUGGAGUGCCUCAAAAGCCUCCUCCAAGACCUUCACAUUGCGUAGGGGUGUAAUAUGAAGGCGGAGCAUCCAUGGAGACAUUGUAGCUCCCCAAUUCCGAAUUGAGAGAUUACAGAACCCGCCGCUCAGCACCGGUUCAUGCAUUGUUUUCCCACCCCACUAACGCUACUGUGAACAUAACACCAGGUAUGAUGCAAAUGCUUCCUCAAUUCAUGGGGUAAGAUUCGAAAGGCCUUAAAUGUAUGCCUUUAUUAAGGAAUUUGAAGAUCAUGCUCAUUGGUGAUUGACAAUUCUUGUCCAAGGGAAAUCUUUUUCUCCAAACUGUUCCUUUUUGUUUUAAAAGAUACUGCUAAACAUGGUUUCAAUUCUUGAGACCACUUUCUUUCACUCUGGCAACGCUCAAGGUAAUUAAGAAUUUUUGAAAAAGUUUUUUCCGAAAAUAGAACAGAAGCAUUUAACGCAAAUCUCACAAUUUCUCAUCUCCAAUGUUGGGGGUGAAACUUCUUUCAAUGUGGGAGCGUUUUAAGGAGCUUCUACCUCUUGGCCCACGACCAUGGCUUUUGCCGAAUGGCAUGUAUCAGCAUCUUCUACGCCUCUCUUCGCCCCCACUCAAAAACAUUUGUCGAGACCCUGGCGCAGAACUUUUCCAUGGAUAAGCAAACCUCACGAAGUCUUUAUGCCUAUUUUGAUUACCUCGCAGAAUUUGACUCGUGAAGGUGGUAUGGGGCUCCACAGGACCCAGAAUCCCUACGGUAGGCUACCAACAAGGGGGAAGAUACCCAAUUGAAAGAGGUUGACAAGUGAAUGCUAGGCUUCCACCAGGGCAAGAAAAUGAGAAUCCCUAGAAUUUACAAAGGUGAAAUGCAGUGGGGAGUGAAGAGCUUUAAAGAUGUGAGCUUGCUGUGUUGAAACAAAAUAAGCACAAACACCAUAUCGUGCCCAGUCAUUCCAGGUAUUACGAGCCUUGCAGGCAAGUCAUGCUAUUGGUCACUAUGGCCCAAUGAUCAAGAUCCCCAUACGCUAAUCCUAUAACCCGGGUGGAGAAUCAUCCAAAUUUCGUAUGGCGCAGAUGAGGGGACGUCAAAUCCCCAUGCCAUAUUCAAGGAGGUUUCCACACCCCUCAAUCUUAUCAGCACAGCACCUCCCCCACCAUCACACCACAAAUUAUCAGCCUUCACCCGUUACAUAUUCUCGACUUCUAACCAAGCCGUUCUAACCUCCACCUCAAGCUCAAUCCAUACUAUCCCCCCCCACAUGAAAGGUCCGUUGGAGGUACCCUCCAACAUUCAUUCAUCCCAAGAGGUAAAUUCACGGGUUUGAAUAAGACGUGGAUGACAUUAGAGUGCAAUUGACUCUUCUCACACAACACGCCUUACCCUUACUUAGAAGGGUAGGUUUCCCUGCACAACCUCAAACCAAACCCAUCUAGGCAUGUCAUUCCACUGAGAUCUCGAACCAACCAGCUUCUGGCCAUGAGCAAGUUCAAGCCAUCCUAGUUUUAAGAAGUGGUAAGACUAUGACUAGACAUUCGCCUAUUGAUCCAAAGGGUAGGGGAGAGGCGUCUAAGUAUUAGGUACGAUGGGGGGCUAGAAAACUGGUAAAAGAAGGUGAGGUAUGUCGAAGAGAAGAGGAGAACAAAAUGAUGAGAGAAAGAAAGCUGGGUCAGUACUAAGAGUGAGGAAGUUCGUAAGAGAGCACGUGUGGGGGGGGAGAUUUUUUGCCCAUCCCCAUUUCCCCAUCGUUAAGCCAAAUCACAUCACAUUGAUUUCUGAGAUUUAUGAGACUGCAACAGUCAAUAAUCUACCUCUCUUGGAAUCCAUAAAACAUGUGCCCUCUUAUGCUACAUUCGUAAGCUUAUGCACAUAAGAGAGGUUGCAGGUGAGAGAGAAAUGCGCUUCUUGCUAGGAUGUCCCAUUCCGAGUUCAAGUUAAGAACCCACCAAAGUAUAAAAUCCGGGUGUUCCCACCGUGACAAUGCGUCAUAGGAGACCUAGGAUAAGGGAUGUCUUUUUGGAUUUGGGAUCGAGUGUGAAUGUUAUUGCCAUACUCUGUGUACGAGAAAUUGGGAUUAGGUGAGCUGAAGCCUGACUAGGUCACACUCCAACUGCGGAUCGCUCUAAUCAAAGCCCCAAGGGGAUGUUGAGGGAUUACUUAGUAAAAGUGAUUAAGUUGGUAACUACCCAGCAGAUUUUGUGGUUUAGAUACUCAACGGUUUGUAAGGACCCCCUGCCCAAAACCAUAUUUCCCUAUCAUUUUGGGUCGACCUUUUCUAGCCACAUGUGAUGCCAUCAUCCAUGGCGGGGGGGCUCUUGCAGGGGUCCUUUGAACUGUGGCUGUUGAACUUAACAUGUUUAAUGCAGGAAAACAACCAGGGAUUUAGAGGAUGUUCGGGAAGUAAAUCUUAUCGAUCCAUAGUGCAAGAGGCACUUUGAGAGGCAUUGUGUAAAAAAGAGACCCUUAGCUAGAUGUUGAUGUUUGGUGAGGGUCUUGACUGCUAAUUGGAAUUGGAAAGUUGGAUUUUUGUAAAUGAGGAUCCGGUCAGAGGGUUGUCCUUUAAUACGUGGGUCAAUGGACCCCCACUUUUGAGCCUUUGACGCCUAGCCUAUUAAGGCCCCCACCAGCAGAACUUGGGCUCCCUACACCCGAAAGGAGAGCCUUUACCUUCUACUCUUAAAUAUGUUUUUUUUGGCGGGUGAGUGAAUCUUUCAUCCAGUAGUGAGAUCCUCAUCAUUACCGAAACUCAAGAGAAAAUGUGUAGAAGUUGCUCAAAAGCAACAAAAAGCACCUAAAGGCCAUAGGUCGGACACUCGCCGAUUUACCCGGCAUUUGCCCCCUGUUUGCACUAAUCGCAUUUAGUUUGAGAAGGGGCUAAGCCGGUGCCGCCAAAUGCAAACGUCGAUUUGAACCCAACUAUGAAGGAAGUUUGUUAGGGGGGUAAAGUGCAAAAGCUCCGUUAUGCGGGGGAUUAUAUACCCCAUUGCCGAUUCCUAAAAUGGGUGAGUCCCACCCAUUUGUUCCCAAACAGUCUGGGGUAACAUGUAUUCAAAAAUGAAAAUAAUGAAUUGAUACUCUCUAAUUCCAACCCACCGUGUGCGGAUUGCAUGACUAUCGGCGCCUAAUGCCGUGACCACCAAGAUCAUGUUCCCCUCCCUGCCUUGCCAAGUCUUAGAGAGGUAUUCUGGUAGGGCCUUAUUAUUGCUUCUUAGAUGGUUACUCAUGGCUAUAACAAAUUGGAGAUAGCCAUGGUGACCAAGACAAAACCACGUUCCCCCAACGUUGGGGUCCAUUGGGGACAUUUUUUGUUGCUUACAAGCUCAUGCCAUUUGGGUUUGAUGCAAUUCUCCCCCCACUUUUCAGAGAUGUAUGAUUACAUUUUUAGCGAUAUGGUUGAGCGAUUUUUGGAUGGGUUCUUUAUGGAUGAUUUUUCAGUGUAUGGGGACACUAUGACCAUGUCUUGAAAAUCUUGGGUCGGUCUUAAGAGAUGUGAGGAGAGCAAUCUUGUUUUUAAAUUGGGAAAGUGUACUUCAGGUGACACAAGGUUACUAGUUCUCAGGCUAUCAUGUUCUUGGGAAGGGCAUUGGGGAGAUCCGCUAAGGUAGGCUCAUCCCAAAGCUACCCUGCCCCCCGGAUAGGGAUUUAGGUCAUUUCUUGUCGUUGCAGGGUUGUGUAUAAUCGGGUUUCAUUCAAUCCUUGUGCCAUGUCUAGGCCCCGGUUGUACCCUCUUGGCAAAAGAUGCCUCCAUUCGAAUGGACUUCUCGUGUCAACUACUUUUUACAAAUUAAAAAUCACUUGACUACGGCUCCCAUAUCAACCUCCGGAUUGGGCUACCUUUUGAAUUAAUGUGUAUGCUAGUACUCGCCGUAGGGGCCGUUCUAGGCCAAAAAUGAGAAGAAACCUCAUGUGCUCCAUUUAGCAAGCAAACAUGAUGAGCCCAUGAACUAUACCACCACCGAGAAAGAAUUGUUCCCAUCGUCCUUCGCUUUGGACAGUUUCGAUCUCCUAAGUGGGUCGAGGUGAUAAUUUUCACCGGACCCAUGCUGCCAUUAAGUACCUUUGGACCAGCAAGAUGCAAAGCCCUCGAUUGAGUUAGGUGGAUUCUCCUUCUUCAAGAUUAAUCCUUAAAUUAGGAUAAAAAAGGGAGUGGACAACGUUGUUGCAGAUCUUUUAGUCACGCCUCCCUUUUGAGUCAUCUCGCAAAUGAUGACUCUCCUAUCUGUGAGAACGUUCCCAGAUGAACAAAUUCUGUCUUGCAAUGCUGUGAUCAUCUUUAAUUAACGCCGUGGGAGCCGAUAUAGCUAACUUUGGCCACAAAACAAUACCUUCCAAUUGGUCCUCAAUGGAUAAAAUCAUUCUUUCGGCAGUAAGACAAUUCUUUUUGGGAUGAAGCCGUAUUGUUCAAAUAUUGUUCAUCAGAUUUGAGGAGAUGUGGACCUGAUGAUGGAAUCAAAGUUCUAGAGAUUUUGUCUUCGCAACCUGUGGGGGGUCAUUUUUCAUCCAAAAAACUGUGGCAAAAUUUUGCAAUGGCGGACUGUAUUGGCCCUCAAUGUUCAAGACGUUCAGUCUUUUUGUUUACUUGUGAUAGAUGUCAAAGCUAGUUCCUUACAGGAAACCAUGUGCCCCUUAACCCGAUUUCGCUUUUUAAGAAUUGGUUUGAUUGUUGGGGGCAGCUCGACUUAUUGGACCAAUUUCUAUUUCGUUUGAAGAGCUAGCAAUCUUGGGGGCGUGAAUUAUGUUUCAAAAUGGGUGGAGGCCUGUCCCUGCCGAACCACUGACCAUCAAGUUGUGGUCAAAUUUUUAAAAGAAUGCAUUUUCCUCCUUCUCUAUUUUCUCCCGUUUGGUAAUGCCUCAGCCAUCUAAUGAUGGUGGAUCCCCAUUUUUGUAAUAGGCCAAUGGGGGUACUCAUGAAAAAAUAUGGAAUUGUUCAUAAGUUUGGCACAGCCUAUCUCCCCCGACCCAGCCAAGUUAGAGUUUGCAAACCCGAUAGAUUAAGCAAGUUGUAAGAAAAACCGUUAUCCUAACCGAAAGGAUUGGUCCUUGAGGUUGGUGGAGCUUAUGGGCAAUAGACAGCUUACAGACCAUCUUAUAGGGUCUUCUCCUUAUAGGCUUUGUGUACGAAAGGCAUGUCCCUUCCGGUGGAGCUAGACACAAGGCUUAUUGGCCAUCCGUCAUUCAAUGAGAACCUUUGAUGAAGCAAUGGCUCACUUCGGAAAUUGCAACUAAAUGAACUUGGAACUUAGAAAUGAUGCUUAGUGAAAAUGCAAAAAUUGUCAAAGCCAAAAUGAAAAUUCCGUCAUGACCAACAAAUUCACCGGAAACAUUUCAUGUUGGUCAAAAGGUUCGUCCUUUACCAUGCUCGGUUACAUCUUUUUCUCCGGGAAAAGUGAGAAGUAGAUGGUCUGGCUCCAUAUCAAUCCAGAAAUCUUUCCCUGGCUUGCUAUUGAAGUAAAAAUCUAAGAAUGACAUUUUUUUCAAAGUCACGGGCAAAGGUUAAAACCCGUUGUUGGUCUUUUCGUGGCGAAGUUGAUGGUGUGGAUUCAUGGAUCCACCCCUCAGUUUGAACCUCUUCAAGUUUUUGUCCCAGGUCUUCACUUUGAUUUUGUUGCUUUGAGGCCAUGCAACCUCUUAGGUGGGGGGUGGGCAAGCAUGUUACGAGAUCAUUCGUUUUUUUUUUUUUUUGGUAGAUUUAUGUUUUAUAAUUGUACUCUUUCCGUUUAAUUUGUGGUGUUUCUUAUUUUUGAGUUGUAAAAAAAAAAAUUAAUUUAAAAAAAAAAAAGUAAAAAAACAUUAAAAUAAAAAUUAAAAAAAAAAAAAAAAAAAAACAACGUGUUUUUGAGUAUUAUAUCAAACCUGUUAUUGUUUUUAUUGAAAAUAAUUUUUCAGGUAAUUAAUCCAGAUGAUAUAUAUUGUCACCCUUGGAGGUCUGCGGUAAAGGUUUGAUGUAUCAUAUGGUUCGAUACUAACUAUGAAGUGUAUUUCUCACACGGUUUCUAUAUACGUUUCAUUUUCAUUUUGGAUUGUAAUUAGAAGUGUUAGAGAUUUUUUUAAGAACUCAUCGCAUCUUUUCAUGUCACUUGAAUCUUGGUGUGAUAAAUACGUUGCUCAUGCAUUACCUAAGUUUUGAAGGAUAAGUGAUUCCCCUUUUGUGUCGUGAAAAAUUACAAGUUUUUUGUCAUAAAUCCUCAUAAGAGAGAGUCACAUCGCUGUACACUGGCAUGCUCUAAUAACAUCUUACUUACUCUUCUUGUGCAUGCUAUCCUUAUAAGGUGAAUUGUCCCCUUGUGAGUUGAGCCACAUGAUCGUUUUUCAGAGUUAUUAAACAUUUAUUCAAGGUCAUUUGAUUGAUCUAGUGAGCUUCAUUCAUUGAAUAGCUCAUCAGACUUGAUUUGGUUUACAUUUUGAUUAUUAGUUGGAAUUAUUGACACCUUAUAACUCUUUGAAUUUUUGAAUUUGAGGUGUUUUUUCGGAUUAUAAAAAUACAAGCCAUUCACAUUGAGCCAUUCUUGUUUUAUCUUUCUUUCGCGAUAUUCGUAUACACAAGUUUUAAAAUUUGCAUGCUAAUUCAUUUCAGAGUGAUGCCUUGCUUAUACAAUAUGAAGGUGAAAGAGUAUGGAGUUGAAGAGAAAGAAAAAAAAAGCAAAAAUGUGAAAAGGAGUUGAAAAACAAAAAAAAUGUGACAGUUUGAAAGUGGAUGAUCAUUGAUCAUCGUUGUAUGCGCAUGCAUAUGUUGAAACCUAAUUACCCACCGCUUUCCCAUCUCUUACAAUGGCUCUUCUUUCAUUCACCAUCCAUAUGGCCACAUAUCCGAAAAUUAACAUGAAUCUUUAUUCAAGUGCGUAUAAGUCACUCAUGUCGAUUCUCUAAUUGUUGUGCUUAAACAGUAAAUAUUCUUUCAUGAAGCUAUGCCAAGUCGAUACACACUUACAAUAUUCCAGUUUUUGAGUUCGGAUUGCUCCUACUUGCAUAUCUUUUCAUUACCUUAAAUGAGCUUUCCAUUGAGAUACCGUGUUCAUAUUUCGAAAUUUAUGUAUGCCUUGUGAAUUUGAAACGAAGCAUAAAGGAUACAGGUACAUGUGUUGAAUGGGUAAUUUAUAUGUCAUUUGAUAGUGUACUACAAUUGUGAUUUCCUUCUUCUUCAUACUUUAUGCCUUAAACUAACUCUUUCAAUGAUUCAUGAUUUAGGGGGUUCGAGAUUUCUUUGAAUGGAGUUAUUGCUGACCAUAUCGUAUCUAUUUACUAAUUUUUACAUGACGAUGAUUCGAUUUUGUGGUGUCACACUGGAAACCUCACGAGACCCCACUUCGUCCCUAGGGUAACCUAGAGGUUUAAGGCUUUGGCAAAAGAUAAAUCAUCCGUGAAUUCCUACGAGUGGAGAUUAGAUCCUUUAUAUUUUAUAAUUUUUGCGAGAGACACAAAUCAAGUUGGGGGGGUGUGAUUACACAUAAAGUGUAAUUAUAAAUCUUUUCAUAUUCGCACUAUGUGAGGACUUAUACUAGCAUUAUUUCUAAUUUAGUUUAGAUUUUUAUUGAUUAGAUUUGUGUGUGUUUUUAGUAACAGAGCAAAAAGAGCACAAAGAGGAAAAAUCAAACAAAUCAAUCUGUGGUGGGCACGAGGAAUCCAAUGAGCCCAUUUGCUGAGAAUCAUCUCCCCCAAAUGGCAAAAGUCUUUUCUGAUAACUAUUCAUGUAAUGAAUAAUCUUUGGGCCAUUUUUGUUGACAAAAUGGCCUCAGCUCCUCCUUUCACCGUGCUAUUUCCUUCUUGGAUUCUCCCUUAUUUUCCUAUAAAGGGAGUAUUUUGGAGGAAGAGGAGGGGAUUUUUGGAUAAGAAUAGGAAAAAGAGUUAGUUUGAAAAAAAACGCUUUCCUAGAGUUUGAGAGGAGUUUUUGGAAUAAAAAAGAAAGAAAGUUUAGAUAGAUUUUUGAGAUUGAAAUUUUAGUUUUUAGUUUUGAAAUUCUCUCUCUCGUAUUGUAAGUUCAAUAUUUUUUAGUUUCCAAAGUUCUAUAAUUUUUACUUAUAUGUCACCUCGAAUAUUGUUUUAUUGUCUUUAAAUAGAUAUUAACUUUUAUAUUAUCGCUUAUCGAAACCACUCACAAUGGAUGAUUCUUUCCGGCCAUGUGGCCGGACUGUUUUUAUCGCUUUAGUUAUCCGCUUGAUAUUUUAUCGCUUAAUUAUCCUUUAGUUAUCGCUUACAAACCAUCACAAUGAACCGUUUUAUUUCGUCCAUGCCGACGGUCCUAUUGCUUACUUAUCACUUACAUUUUUUUAAAAAUGAAAUGGCUGGGUUACUUUCCUUAUUUCAUUUUUUGUUAAGUUCUAUUAUUGUUAUUUGUGUUCCAUUGCUGUAUAGUUGUAUACUCGAUUCAACCGCCCUUGUUAUUUCUUUUAGCUGGUUUGGAUUUUAAUUUAUUUGCCCAUUUCCCAUAUUCUUCAUAAUCUGCUUUCAUAUUCUGGUAUCUAAUUUUUGUAAGUUUUAUCUAUUUUAAUUUUUAUUUAUAUUUAUAUUUAAAUAUUCAAAAAUUUCAUAAUGAAGAUGAGUAGCUAACCUUCAAUCUUGGAGGUUGAUUGUAAAUAUUUUUGGUGAGUUCUUGAAAAACAAGGGGAUUUGAAUUUGGGUUUCAAAGUGUAUAUUCAGUUUUGUCAUUCUUUAUCCUUCAAUGGUCUGUAAUUAUUGAAAACUUGGAGGAUUGAUUAUGUUCGGCAACACUUAGAUCAUAAACUUCGUUCAGAAGGGUUGUAAUAUGCAUGAAUCGAUGGUAUUCAUCCUGAACUAACAACCAAUCUAAUUUAAAAUGAAGUUUUUAAAGAACCAGAGAUUUAAUCGCUAAUCUUCCAAUCUCAUACUCCUGACAGUCAAAAGAUUUGGUUAAUAAACUCUCACCUUUGAAAUUCCAAGACACAAUAUCAUUGAACAUCAACCCCGAGAUACUUUUCACUUAAUUUACAAAUACUUUUUUCAAGCGAUUUAUUUAUAUUGUCAAUAUUCGAACUCAACAAUGCUAAAAACAAUCGAUUUUAUUUUUUUAGAAUAUUUGUUCAUCCUUUGUGGAGUAUUGAGAGAAACUCUUUGUCCUUUCAGUCUUGCUCACACAACUCCCGUGGAAUCGACUCGUACUCCGAGUUAUAUACUAUACACUUCCGCCGGCCUUCUCUUGGGUCUAUCUCAAGCGCACGUUUGGCGAUAGCUCAAUUACGUCAACCUUUUUUUUACGCACUUUAUGAGCAUUAAUGUUGACAAUAAAUAUGAUAUUAAAAGCAAAAUAAUUUUAGAUAAAAUUUCUAACAUUUCUAUCUCUUUAUUUUCGCAAUAAAAUAAUUUAUACCAUCAAAACUAAAUUUUUCCAUGUCACAGUUCUAAUACACAAAAUAAUAUCUAACAGACUUUAUAUAGCUAUACCAACAAAUCCAAAGUAAAACCCAACAAACUAACCCCGUUUUACCUAAAUAGAAUUUGACCAACGUCGGUAUGAAAGAUAGGCUUCCAUGUCAUCAAUACUAAAUUUUGCAAUUGAUCCAACGUCAUCUCACACUCACACCUACCUUGAUCUGCACUCCCUAAUCUUUUACAUGAUCAAAAACUUAACCACACUUAUAAUUGUCUCCAUUUCGUCUCUCUCCCCUCUCUUCUCUCUUCCCUCUCCUCUUCCUUCACGAGCUAUCCUUCCUCCCCUAUUUAAUAGAUUUUAUAAAAUAUAUUUAUAUAUAUAAAUAUUAUUUUUUUAUUAUUUUAUUAUUUUAUAUUCUUUUUUUUUUCGUUUUCUUUUUCUUUUUCCUUUCCUUUCUUUCCUUCGGCGCCGACGCCUUUUCGGCGGAAAGACACGAUUUUAAUAGUUUUAUAGAAAUCACACUUUAAUUAGUCCCCUCCACCUUCUAAUUACAUUUAUUCAUCCUCAGUUAAUGGCCGCUUUAUUUACUCCCCAAGUCAUGAAUCGUUCAAUUUAAACUCAUACAUAAAAGCAAAAUCCAAAUUUUAUAAAUAUAAAAAUUGAAACCUUACAGAUUGGUUGUUGCCUUCUUCUAUUAUUGAUUUCAUCGAUUUUUCUUCAUGUUUCCGUUUAAGAAUCGUUAUUUUCUUCGUCUAUGGUUGAUUCAUUCAAUAAUUUCAAUGGAUUCUUGAAUCUGAAAUAGUGAACCGGACGGUCCAAUGACCAGUUCAAUCGAUUGGGUCGCAGUUCAACCGCAAUUCUUACUGGGUUUGACUAGGUUUUGACCAAAACGGGUUUAGAGUCCUGACUGGACCGUUUCUUCAACCAGCGGACAGUUCAACUGGUUGAACCAGCCGGUAAGAUUCGGUUUUUAAAACCUUGUUUAGAGGAAGCACAACUUUUUACCUUUUUAUUAUUUUUAACAAGAGCAAAAAAUGAUGAUCCUUUGUUUCAUACUCAUAACAUAGAUGCUUUACGAUUUCUAUUGAAAAAAAAAAGUUUAAUUUCAUAUUCUCUUUUUUAUUAGUUUGUAGUUAUCUUAACUGAAUGAAUUAAGAGUAAGUUACUUAUGAAUUACUAUUAACUUUUCAAUACAUUAUUGAAAAAUCUAAAUAAGUCAAUCAUGAACCGUUCACUAUAUUGGUUAAUUGAGUGGGCCAGUUGAGCUGUUGGCCCACACCAGAUGUUACUCUUUUGCUAUAUUCGAUUUGAUGGAAUGAUAUAUAAAAAAGAAUAGUUUUCAUUAGGAAUUACCAUUUACUACAACAUAGGAAUGACUAGUACCUUAACUAAUAAAUAAAUGUUUAUUCUAUUCUCAUUCUAUUUUAUUACAUACAAAAUAAAAAUGACUAUUCUUUUAUCAUUUCAUUCAAAUCUCCAUUCUAUUCCAAUCUCUAUUCCAUUCCUUACAAAAUUCAUUUCAUCCAACCAAACACAACUUAUUUGAUAAUGGUCAUUCCAAAUGGAAUGUUUAGUUUUUUUAUUAACCAAAUACUGAAAUUAUCAUUCCAAUAAAAUGACUAUUACAUUCCAUCUAUGUUCCAUCAAACCAAACAUAGCAUAGGGCAAUUAAAAAAAAAUUAUUCUAUUCUCAUUUUCAUUCUAUUUAGAAGUACUUUCCAAGCUAGCAUAGCCAACCUUAUCUACAAAUAUAUUAGGGGAAAUUAAAAAAAAAAUUGCAUCUAUUUUAACUUAAAAAUGAGUCAUAAUUGCAUCGAUUAAGUUUUAAAGGGUGACAAUUUUUGUAAUGUCGUUUUUCCAAUUUUGUUGACAAUAAUAAGUUAGUUUUGUUAAUCCUAAUGAAAUAGAGACUGACCUUUAGGUUUUAAUUCGUUACAAUUGAAACUACAAAGUUUGAUUUAGUACUAGGGUCAAACCUUGAAUUUUGUUUUUUAAUUUCUCCCAAUUUUUUUCUUAUUAUGGGGUAUAUUAAAGGGUGAUAACAUUGAAAGAGGAUAUUUUUGUAGUGUUUGGCCAAGAAAUAGUAUGUUCCGACAAACCUAACGAAACGGAGACUGGUAAAAUUUUUUUAUUGUGAUUAGAUCAAAACUUCAAAAUUUAAUUUGAAGUCAAAUCCUGAGUUGUUGUUUUUUUUUUAUUUUUCCCGUUGCUUAUUUAGCGGAUAACAUAGCCUUUAAUCUCUUGUAAAUGGCAAACCCGAAUGGUACCAGUUUUUUGCCUUUUUUUUUAAGCUUGUAAACAAAAAAGCUAGUCAAAAUUGACUUUUUUAUUUUUUUAUUUAUUUGUAACGAAAGUAAAGCCAAGAAAGUAAAAAAAGGCAAAAAAUCUUAGACCUUUUUAGUAACAAGUUUAAAAAAAACAUGACAUUUAAGCAUUGUCAAACGAAGCCUUUGGGCUUCCGCCAAUAAAAACAAAUUUCUGUGUGUCUAGACUUUUUAUUAAGAGUUUAUUAAAAGUAGCUUAGACUUGGUUUAACAAGACUUUUUCAAUUUGACUGAAUCUAGUAAAUUCAUGACAUUAAUCCGGUCCAUCAUCCCAACUGUCCAAAACACAUGCCAUUGGAAUUCCAAUAACGUUCCGUUUCGAUCGAUUUCCUAAUAAACCGAACUGUUUGAUCAUUUCGAUGGAAUUUCAAUGUGAAAAGAGCGAAAAUUUUGAUGAUUGUUUAAUUCCAUGCCAUUUUUAUGUGUUUAUCGUAUUAAUUAAGUAAUUUGAGUACAUAACGUUGGAGAACAUAAUUUCUCUGCUCCGUAAAUAAGAUCCUCACACCACCCAGGUAACAAAUAUAUUUUUACUUAUUGAAUUUGAACUCGCAAACGGUGGACAAGAAUGAAAUUAAUAGAUCGAUUCGUGUGAACUAAACAAGAUCGAAUUGUUAAGCAGCAGAACGUUCUGGCAUGGAGGCCUUGUUGGGAAGCUCUUCAAGUCGUGCGUAGUUGUAUAUCAUGUAGUGUCUUCUGCACCCCGGAGCCUCUCUUGGCGUGUCCGAAUCCAACUCUUCUGUACCAUGCCUGAUCGUUAGAAACUUGAAAACUACAAGAAGAUGCUCCCGAGGACCACACCGCAGCGUUGGCAUUGAAGGUUUCGGUAGGAGGCUGAAGGGAGUAAUGAGUCCGUCAGUCUUGACAAGCCCACCUCUUGUUGCCCCAGUCAUCUGCAUUCCACAGACUGGAAUAUAUCCUCAUUGGGUUGGUCUUUUGGACGAAACACCAAUGGAUUCCUCCGAGUUCUUGAACGCUCUUCUUGGGUGCCAUCAACAGAAAAAGCUGGAAUGGAAUGGACCAACUUAAUGAACACCACAUAAAAAAAAAAGGAAUAUAUGCUGUAAAAAAAAUUAUACUAAAAAUUUGAAAGAUGUACAAACGAUACAACUACUUACAGAAUCCUUGUGGGUUUCCAGAGAUUGAAUAGGUGUGGAAAUCGGCAGUGUGGUUUCGAACCAUACGUAAAAUUGCGCUCUCUAUUGCCCUUAGCCUGGCUGAAGACAUUGGUGUUAAGAAUAUAAUGAUCGCCACUUCAAAUCCCCAAUAAUUCCAGUCUAAUCUCAUCAUGGUUUGGUCCCUUGCGACGACAACUGCAACACAAACAGGGAAAGGAAAAGUCAGUUCAUGACUUCCUAGCUCGGAAAAGUAAUUGAAUUUAACUCUUCCAUGCAUAUUGGUUUUGAUGCGAGGGUUCGAGUUUCACUGUUCUAAUUGGCAAUUUUCUAUCAUAAUACUUAAAAAGAAAAGCAAAUAAAAGAACUCACUGUUGCGUGACGUGCCGCUGAAUUCCCCGGACAGCUUGAGCUCAUAUCGAUCUUCCAAAGAAUAUCCAUUCUUGACUGAAAGCCGGAAAGCCAGAGGCCUUGUCUAGUGAGAGCGUUAUGAGAAGCUCCCGUUGUUUUUAUUAUCUUAGCGCGGCCAUCACCCGUCAAGUGAUGUCCAAGUGUUGGUUGAGGUUACAAGCCACCAAAGAAACCUCAACAGAGACACAAAGAUGCAGAAGUGGUAUGCAAGAAAGAGAAUGCCAUAUGGAAUUCAGAAAGGCAAAUUUGGCAAGUAUAGUUGUUCGUAGGAUAACCUUUUGUGGGUUGAUGAGAGUUUGGAGAGCCUGGUGGGGUAUUUAGAUAUAGUGAGAGCAGAUAUGGAAUACAAGGCAGCUAAUCUAAACGAAAGAUCAAAGGAAAGGUUCUUUUUUGAAAUUACUUGUGGGGCUGAAAGUGCAGAAGCUUCAAUCUUUUAGCUGUACACAGAUGCUGAACAAUUUGUUGGGUUAAUUCCUGGAAAGUGCAAGCCAUACAAUGACAGCUCACCGCAACUGCCUCCUUUGUUUUUAAAAUAAAAUAAUUUAUUUUUGACAAAAAAUAUACAUAAACCAGCGUUAUAAGUAAUUUUGAUAAUAAAAGUUAUUUUUAAAUAAAUAUUUUAUUAAAAAUUGAAAUGACCGAUUUUUUUACAUUAUUCUAUAUAAAAAAAAAAAUUGAAUAGACCUAUAAUGGCCAAGUCGAAAAUAAUUAAAAAGUGUGAGGCCAAAAUCGUAUGGAGGUUAUUUAUUUUUUUAUUUUGAGAAUUGAAGAGAUGGUCUCACAGAAAAUUAUUAAAAUUAUUUUAAUUAAUUGCUUUCAACGCAACAUGAAGCAGUCAAAAAGGUUUGGUUGCCAUGCAGCUGGAAAAGUUGCAUCAUGGGACUGUUUUAAUUUGUACGGCAUCUCUUUUAUAAUGCAAAUACAGUCCGGACAAUACCUUCCCAGUGAUCCUGGACCACAUAAUGCCUUUCAAAUGGAGUCAUAUUAUUAAACAAAUUUUGUUUUCCCUCUAUACAGACUAUACUGCCCACCGGCCUUUAGGCAUAAGUUGUUGGGUCAUCCCGGCUUUGAGCUUUUAUUUUGGUUUCAAAAUAGGAACCAUCUAAUAUUUUUCUUUUUGAGGUUAAAUUAAGGUCACAUAUGGGCUAUCCAAGUUUCUGUACAUUUAGUAAUUAAUUGACACCUUAUUAAUUAUUAUAUAAGAAAAUUACUGACUCUAUCUAAUUACAAAUGAUGUGUCAAUUGUUUUACUGGAUUUAUAUAAACCUUCAUGUUUACAACUGCACUUGUAUGUGAACUACUAUAGCAAUACAGAGAGGAAGAGAGAAAGGGAAGAGUGAAUAUUAAUUCUAUAAUUUUCAAUUCCUUUCUCUAUAAAGGUACAUUUCUAGGCACAGAAACAAGGUAGUUGUUAUUCGUGAGAGCGAGAUUAUAAUGCCAUGUGCCUUUCUGAGGUUAACCACCAUCACAUUAUGUUUAACUUAUCCUUUACUCUAUGUUUUUUUUUUUUCCUGGAGUUUAAUAACUUAUUUUAACACUUCUUUUAAAGGAAAAGAUAAAGCAAAGACAAGGCAAUGACAACUCGAAGGAAAAAGAAAUUGCUAUAUCAUAUGCUAAUCUGUAUGUUUUUCAACCAAUGUUAGACUUGUGAUAAUUGAAACUCAUUGUGGAUGUAUAUUAUUUACUUUUGUAUCGUAAAAUUACUAUUUCAAGAUUUUAUGACUCAAUAAAGAGAUUUGUUUAACGUAUUAUUAUCAUGUGUUGCACAAAGAACAAAUCUUUUUCACAUGUUACAUAUUCCUAUUUUAGGCAGUACUCAUGGAUAAAUUUUAUAUCAAAUCUGUGAUGCCCCACGCACCGAUGAGAAUAGGGAGAAAUUUAUCGAAAUAUUCAACCUAGACUAUUUUCAAAUUUAACACCAAGACGUCGCAUCACAAUUGGUUGGAAGGGUUUACACAUACAACAAAUGCCAUUAACUCAAAUCCGUGCCCACGGGUAUCACUAAUCAUGUACCUAAACGGACAGUGGUUGCACACUCCCGGCACCACUUGGAGUCAACACUGUAGUAUUUUAUUCCAUUCCACAACGCCUGAUUUAGUAAGGCAAAUUGGUGGAAGAACUCCAAUCACGUAGAUAGUGGUUGUUAGUCAUCCCUAAUCUCCUCAACCAUGUAGACUUGCAUGCUAUGCCUCUCCACAAAAUCUUAGUGAAGGCUUUCUAGUAUAAAUGUCAACGAAGUCAUCAUAAGACAAUGCGGAACUACCUUUGGAUUGGAGUUACCUCUGUUUAGCACAACUUCACCCCAGAACAAAAUUGGUAAGUAAAUGUGUAAUAAAUAUGUUGUGUCUAUUAUGUGCGAAGGAUAAAAUUCUGUAACUUUAUAAAUGUUGUAGGCAAACUUCGGUACAAAAAAAUCAAUUUUUCAACGCGUGCACGAAAUCUUUGAGUGAUGAUGAAUUAGAAGGUAUUACAUAGCGUAAGAGGUAGAAUCGGCACCAGAUAUUUUAGAUCCGACAUUUCCUCGGCAGGAUGAAUGUGUUAGCAAUGUCCGAAUUGUUUAGCCUUCCAUUGGAUAGAUAAAAAAUUUAGCAAAAAUCAACCUUAUCAUGCCCCCCGCGCCCGCCGUUUUGGGACGUUGUUUUUUGCACGCAAAAAUUGCAAGCUACCUCUACUUAUAAUUCCCCCUUCACAACUUCAAGCGUUAUAUGAUGGCAUAAUGAUCAAUCUAAAGAUUUUCGAAAAUACGUCCGAGAAUAUAUUGCAGUUAAAGUUAGUUAAUGCUUUUCCGAGUUGGCGGCAAAACGGAUCAAGAGCUAGUACUUGCUGGAAGGGGUCCUGCUCUUGCACAUCCAUGGGGAAUUGCACCAUAGAAACAGGAGCAUUACUUCACAGCCUGGCCCAUUGAAGGAAUUUAUGCCCAACUUUAUAUAUAUGACCCCGAUUCUGCUUGAAAGUUGCAAUCGUAGAAAGCCUUCAAUUAAGAAGAGAUGUACUCCAAAACAGGGUUCAGGAUACUUUACUAUAGUAUUAGUGAAUUUGACAGAUAAAUUCACCAGGCUUAUGAACUCUUUAAAUCAAUCAGAAUCGGGGGUAACAUCUAACUUCAUACUCCACUAUAGUUUGCGGACGGAAAGGAAGAACGGUUUUUAUAAUUAUAAUUUCCCACAUCAGAUGAGAUGGUUAUAUUACGGAAGAUGGACCCGAGUCAAUGGAAUGAGAGACAUGUCUUACAUCUUAGAGGAAAAAAAUGAGUUGAGGAGGUAUUAGAUGAAUAUUCACCCAGCUAUUUACAAUUGCAUUAUGUCUAUUGUUCCCUAAUGGGGAGUUUGGAUGGGAACCUCAUUGAAGAUAAUGAGAUGUCUUACGCGGUCAACCUGCAAAAUGAGCGUCUCACUCAUUACAAUGUUAUAGUUAUCGGUCUAUUUGAAUGGAGUACAGAAUAUUCAAUAAUUUUGAAAGUAGGAAAAAUAUUUUCAAGAGUUUCUGCUGGUUAGGCUUGGGCUAUAAACGAGCAAAAAACCGCUUUGGAUACAAUAGGCUCAAUCAAGGGAGAUUUACGGGCAGAACUGUACAAGGGUUGAAAGAAUUGGUGAAGAUGGUUUGGGACUUGUCAGUGGUCAACGAAAUAAAUUUGCAAUCUUCAUCGGUAGUAGUCGAAGACAUAUGUUUUUUUGAAAUAUUUCAAGAGUCAAUGGCUAUGACACGUUACAAUCAUCACCCUGAUAGUUUUCUCACGAUGACAUGCAAAAUCCCAAUUGGCAUGAAAUUAUUUUAGCUUGUUACCGUAUCAAAUCUAUAGACCUCCUGGAUUUAGUUUGACAGGUUUUCGAGUUGAAGAGGAAGUAUCUGAUGAAGGAGAGGGAGGAUAGAGAAAAAAAGCAGGUAUUUGGGUAGAAAAAGUCUGUACAUGUUUACACUAUUGCAUUGCAAAAAUAGGGGCUACCACAUAUGCACUGCCACUUUUCUGUCUUGAAGGUGCAGACAAAAUUCAGGACAUGUGCUCAAGUAGACCAUGGUUGUAUCUGCGGGAAUUUUCAUCUCCAGAAGAUGAUCCUUAUACUUUUAAAGACUGUCAAGAGUAGUUAUUAUGGUACAUAGAUUGUUGUGGCGCUUGAAUUCGAAUGCACCAUGUCUGGACAACAAUGGUAGAUGCAUAAAGCGGUACCCUAGAGCCUUUCAGAAGGGAAGACAACUUAUGAAUCAAGAUGGAUACCCUAUCUAUCGUGGUCGAAAUAAUGGUAGAUAGAGUGUAUACAGUUAAUGGACAAGAUGUGGACAAUAGGGAUGUCGUGCCACAUACAAUUGAAUAUCUUUAAAAAAAAUGUUCAAUUGAAUCAUCAUGCGGAAGUUGUGCGGGAUAAGAUGUGUUAAAUACAUACCAAGUAUAUUACAGGGUCAUGAUCGCACAAAACAAUGGUGGUUUGGAGGAGUAGAUUUAGAUCCACAAUAUAUCGAUUCAGGAUAUUGGAGAUCUAGAAGCGGCGAUAGGCGAAUAUUAGGUCAUAAUCUGCACGAGGAAUUCCUUCAGGUGUUCGACUAGAACUUCAUUGACCUGGAAUACAUCAUGUUGUUGUCAAUGAAACGAGUCGUAAAUUCAUAAAUUUCGGCUGGGGGAAAGAUUGUUCAACUCUUACCAGAUAUUUUGCAUGUUGUGAUUUCAAAUGAAAGCUGCUCGGGCAUUCACACCAAGAAUUUCACAAACCUUGUGUUUGGCAAAAGCACAACCAAAGAUGGACCCCGGACAAAGGGGGUAUACAAUUGGUAGUGAUGUACUUGUUGCACAUAAUUUAGGGAGAGAUUCUAUUAAGUUACUACUAACUAUUAUUAAAGACCAAGAUCAUUGAAUACUUGCGCACAAUAAUAAUACUUGCACCAUCGUUCAACUCGGCAUGUGUUGCAAUGGUGACUGUUAGGAAGAUGAUGAGAAGGGAUACAAUACUUUCAAGAGGCUUCCAAUUAUGAACACUGGAUAACGAACUAGAGGAGAGUGUUUAUGUUAAUUCUACCACAGUAUUGUCCUUUAAACUACAGUGUUGUGGAAUCAAGUCUUUGUGCACUAUAUGUGAUGAUCUUGCACACACAUUUGAAUAUUAUUUGCCAUUACGAACCCAACUGAGGCUCAAUUGAAGAUUACGGUUAUACCUUUUGAAUCAAUUACUUCAAGAAUAAGGCAAGAGUUUCAGUGACUUCCCCCAUGCCCACCACCCAAUUAGAAAUUGGAGCCUGAUUGUUGGUAAUGGACUCUAUGGGAACAUCGAACAACUCCAGAUUGAUGCGCAACAAACGGCAUGUACAGGAUAAUGUUGACUGUUAAACGACAAACAACGUGAGGCUUAUGUGCAAUCAUUUCUUCAGUUUUUACAAAAAGUAAAGGAACUACCUUGUUCUUAGGUGGUGAUGCUGGAAGAGGGAGAAUUCCUAUACAAUACAAAUUGUAACAAAAUGUCGGGCAUUGGUCAUACGUAGUUAAUGUGGCAUAUCAUCUGGAAUUGCAUUCAUUAUAUUGGUAGGAGGCAAAACUGCACAAUCGACGUUUGCAUACCAUUGGUAUACGAAAAAAUUCAUUUAAUGGGUUUAGCAAACAGUCAUUGCAGGCAGAGCUAUUCAGAGAGAAAAAACUAAUAAUCUGGGCUGAAGCCAUGCCAACAUAGAUAGUGUGUCGGAAACGGUUGAUCGAACAUAAAGAUAUUUGUGAUAAUAUCAAUCCCUUCGGAGGUAUCACCGUAGUUUUGGUGGCAAUUCGACAAGUUUUACCAGUAAUACCAAAAGGAGUACGAGAGCAAAUGUGGCUGCAUCUUUGCGUCAUUCUGUACUAUGGCAUGACAACAUGUUCUGACAAUGUGGAUGUGACAUGCGCCUAAAUAACAUGGACAUUGAAAAUAUAAUUUCGCCAAUUUUUGUGAGGUAAGAUUUUUUCAUAAUCUUCUUGAUUAUUUCAUUGCAUAGAUUAUAAUAUAGAUUUUAUUGUGUUAAAGUGGUAGCAAUCCGCACGGAAAUCGUAAAGCUUCCAUCACAAUACAUUUUGUUGGAUUAAAAGAAUGGUUAUCUACGUUUAUCCUCAGAUGGAUGUGCCGGGAACUGUGAAACCCAACAUUCCUCACUGAACGCACAAUUCUUUGUGCACGGAAGGAAAUGUUACGCUAUAAUAUUGCGAUAUUGAAUCUGUUUCCGGGUAGACAACAAAACUAUUAGCGGCCGACAAAAUGUCUGCAAAUGAUGAAGUUGAUUGUCACAUUACAAAACCGAUAUCCUAAUGAGUAUUUAAACUCUUGAAUCCUCCAGAUUUACACCAUUUUAAAAUUGAGUUAAAAGUGGGGUGCCCAUAAAUUAUUGAGGAAUAUUGCCGCCGAAUGAACGGACUUUGUUGAUAAUGAUUAAUGGUUGUCGGUGUGCAUUCCGAAUAAUAGAAGCCCAAAUAUAACCGGAGAUAAAGUGGCAAUUUGGUAUUUUUCCAAGAAUAUCUUUGGCACUUCAUCUUCCGAAUUUCUUUAGAAGACAAAGCGCCAAGUUCUGUUCAGUGGAAAAGCAAAACAAUACACAAGUCAUCAGGGACAAUCUGUGGAAGUAAGUUGGGUUGAUGGCAGGACACCUGUAUUUAGUCACGGGCAAUUUAGUGGCAUUAUCCCAGAUGGACAUCCUUCCAUUGUAUCAGUGUCCUCCUCGAAAUGAAAUGGAUUUCAUGACAAAUAUGUUUAUCUAGAAGUUUUGUUUAGUCUUUUUUCAUCGAUGAAAACCCCACAAAAGGUAUAAUAUAGAUUUUUCUUGGUUGUUAGGGACCAAAAAAUCCAUUUAAAUAUGCAAUUUUAUCAAAAUAUGCAAUUUAAUUAUACUAAAUAUUAAUUUUUUGUAGGAUUGGAUGAAACAUACAGGAAUAAAAAUGAUAAAUACAACUGGAUUAAGCGUUAGGGAGGGGAAUAACUAUGAGUAAGUUAUUCUUCGUAUCUUUUCAGAUAUUUUUUACUAAAAUUUAAUUUGACUAAAAUCUCACAUCGUUUGCCCUAGAUUGUCGUGCAUUCUCCUAAAAUGGUGGCAAUCAUACCCAGACAUAUUGAUACCAGGAAAUUUCGCAAAUGUCCUGAUGAGAAUUCACAAUUGAGAAGUUUUGAAGACUUUUUGAGGAAGACAAAAUGUAAAAUUUGAAGACUGUUAUUGUAAAUUAUUAAUAGUGCUAAAAGUUUUUUUUUGCAAACUCCAAAAUUCGAAUUUUUUUUUACAUAGUCAGGUGGGCACGGCAAUUACUAGUUUUUGACGCAGGAUGAUGUUUGACAAAUUUGAUAAGGAUUUGACUUGCAUCGAUUAAGUUUUUAAAGGGGACAAUUUUUUGUACUGGUGUUUUCCCAAUUUUUUGUUUGAGAAUAACUAGUAGUUUGUUAAUUCCUAAUGAAAUAAAGAUGAACCUUUAGUUUUAAUUCGCUCAAUUUGAAACUACAAAGUUCGAUUUAUACUAGGUCAAAACCUGAUUUUGUUUUUAAUUUCUCCCAAUUGUUUUCUUAUAGGGGUAUAUUAAAGGGUGAUAACAUGAAGGGGAUAUUUUUGUAGUGUUUGCCAAGGAAAAUAGUAGUUCCGACCAAACCUACACGAAAACGGAGAUGGUAAAGAUUUUUAUUGUGAUUCGAUCAAACUUCAAAAAUUUAUGAAGUUCAAAAUCCUGAGUUUGUUGUUUUGUUUUAAUUUUUCCCGUUGCUAUUUAGCGGUAACAUAGCCUUGAAUCUCUUGUACAAUGGCAAACCCGGAAGGUACCAGUUUUUUGCCUUUUUUAGCUUGUAAACAAAAACGUAGUCAAAAUUGACUUUUUAUUUUGAUUGAUUUGUAACGAAAGUAAAGCCAAAGAAAGUAAAAAAAGGCACAAAAAUCUGGACCUUUAGUAACAAGUUUAAAAAAACAGACAUUUAAACGGGAGUGUCAACGAAGCCUUGGGUUACGCCAAUAAAACACAAUUUCUGUGGUUAGGACGUUUUAUUAGAGGUUUAUUAAAAGUAGCUUAGACUUGGUUUAACAAGACUUUGUCAAUUUGACUGAAUCUAGUAAAGUCAUGACAUUAAUCCGGUCCAUAAUCCAACUGUCCAAAAACACAUGCCAUGGGGAAUUCCAAGAAACGUUUCGUUUCGAUCGAUUCCUAAUAAACCGAACUGUUUGAUCAUUCGAUGGAAUUCCAAUGGAAAGAGAGAAAAUUUUGAUGAUUGUUUAAUUUCCAUGCCAUUUUAUCGUGUUUAUCGUAUUAAUUAGUAAUUUGGAGUACAUAACGAUUGGAGAACAUCAUUUCUCCGUAAAUUAACAUCCUCAACCCACUCCAUGUAACAAAAAUAUAGUUUACUAUUGAAUUGACUCGCAAAGGUGGAAGAAUACAAUUAAUAAUCGAUUCGUGUGAACUAAACAAGAUCGAAUUUUAAGCAGCAGGAACAUUCUGGAGGU
rnacentral:lncRNA from 1 species